rnacentral:tRNA from 1 species
GGAGGGGUGACCGAGAGGCUUAUGGUGGCGGUCUUGAAAACCGCUCUCCGAUUUAUCGGAGCGUGGGUUCGAAUCCCACCCCCUCCG